rnacentral:rRNA from 1 species
CCUACGGGGGGCUGCAGUGGGGAAUAUUGGACAAUGGGGGGAACCCUGAUCCAGCCAUGCCGCGUGUGUGAAGAAGGCCCUCGGGUUGUAAAGCACUUUCAGUGAGGAAGAACGCCUGGUGGUUAAUACCCAUCAGGAAAGACAUCACUCACAGAAGAAGCACCGGCUAACUCCGUGCCAGCAGCCGCGGUAAUACGGAGGGUGCGAGCGUUAAUCGGAAUUACUGGGCGUAAAGCGCGCGUAGGUGGCUUGAUAAGCCGGUUGUGAAAGCCCCGGGCUCAACCUGGGAACGGCAUCCGGAACUGUCAAGCUAGAGUGCAGGAGAGGAAGGUAGAAUUCCCGGUGUAGCGGUGAAAUGCGUACAGAUCGGGAGGAAUACCAGUGGCGAAGGCGGCCUUCUGGACUGACACUGACACUGAGGUGCGAAAGCGUGGGUAGCAAACAGGAUUAGAUACCCGUGUAGUC